GACGAACGCUGGCGGCGUGCUUAACACAUGCAAGUCGAACGCGCCUGUCCUCUGGGUUUCUGGGGGGUGGGUGAGUGGCGAACGGGUGAGUAACACGUGAGUAACCUGCCCCCUUCUUCGGGAUAACGGUCUGAAAGGGCUGCUAAUACCGGGUAUUCACUGGUCUCCGCAUGGGGUCUGGUGGAAAGGUUUUUUUCUGGUGGGGGAUGGGCUCGCGGCCUAUCAGCUUGUUGGUGGGGUGAUGGCCCACCAAGGCUUUGACGGGUAGCCGGCCUGAGAGGGUGACCGGUCACAUUGGGACUGAGAUACGGCCCAGACUCCUACGGGAGGCAGCAGUGGGGAAUAUUGCACAAUGGGCGCAAGCCUGAUGCAGCGACGCCGCGUGAGGGAUGGAGGCCUUCGGGUUGUGAACCUCUUUCGCCCGUGGUCAAGCCGCGACGUGGGUCGUGGUGAGGGUAGUGUGUAAAGAAGCGCCGGCUAACUACGUG
rnacentral:rRNA from 1 species